rnacentral:rRNA from 1 species
UGGUUCUUAAGAUAACAUAAGGGAAAAAAAUGAUAAUACCUUAUUAUUAGUGUUGUCCAACAUUACUGGUGCCAGAAGACUCGGUAACGCCAGAAACGCAAACGUUAGUCGUCUUAAUCAGGCGUAAAGGGUAAGUAGGCUGCUUUAAAAGUUAAAAUUUAGAAAGCUCUUUAGGCGCUCAGGUGGUCUGGUUUUAGCUAGACUACUAGAGUGCUGAAAAGUAAAUAAUAAUGAAUUAAAGCUAGAAUCAAAAAGAGGAUAAGCCAAAUAAUAUUUAGAGUAAGGCUGAUAUCUUCAAAUACUAAAUAGAAUUCUAAUGGUGAAAACUUUUAUCUAAUAAUGAUUGACGCUGAGGAACGAAGGUGAGAAUAGAAAACAGGAUUAGAGACCCAGGUAUCUCUCACUGUCAACGAUGAAUGGUAGUUGUUAGCUUAGCUUAAGUUAGUAACGAUGUUAACGCGUUAACCAUUCCGCCUUGCGAGUACG